UACGUAGGGGGCAAGCGUUGUCCGGAAUCAUUGGGCGUAAAGAGCGUGUAGGCGGUCCGUUAAGUCGGCUGUGAAAGUCCAGGGCUCAACCCUGGGAUGCCGGCCGAUACUGGCGGACUAGAGUCCGGAAGAGGUGAGUGGAAUUCCCGGUGUAGCGGUGAAAUGCGCAGAUAUCGGGAGGAACACCUAUGGCGAAGGCAGCUCGCUGGGACGUUACUGACGCUGAGACGCGAAAGCGUGGGGAGCAAACAGG
rnacentral:rRNA from 1 species